ensembl:lncRNA
UAAACGAGUCUGCGACGUCAGGUACAGAUAUCCGGUCCGAUCCAGUGGAGUAACAUUUAGGUCCGAGACAACAACUUACAAUAUAGGCUUAUUAUAAGCAGCUUCUUCUUUAAAAAACAGGAAAAAAAAGUGGUUCGGGAAACAAAAAGCAUCAUCAUCGUCAUCAUCAUUUCCGCAAGCUCUUUCCAGCACACCGUUGUAGUAGGACACACAAGAUGGGAGAGAGAGCAACGGGACCACCACCACCACCACCAACCACCGGUAGCCUUCAGCACGUGGGGACCCGGGGUGAUCAUCCACAUUCCAGCUUGUGGGCUGGAACUCCUACUCGUUAUCUG